GCCGAAAUAGAGAAGAAGAAAAAAAAAACGAGAGAAAUGGAAAGAAACGAGCUUCAAUCACUUUAAGCUAGUGGAGAAUAUCGAAUAUUAAAGCUUUAAGGAAAGCGGAGGUUAGGGUGACGAAAAGUUAGCGACAUGUUUGACAUCCGAGAGGCGAUGCAAGAAGUAACGUGGAAUAGGUGAGGAACUCGGUUCUAGAAGAAAGGAAGCGGUGAAGUAUUUUCAUUCAUUAUCAAAUUCAAUUAAGGCAUGUAUUAACUAUGGGUUGUAACCCUUAAAUUCUACUAGACUGUGGUUGAUAUCAGUUAUUUACUUUAAUGUACUUAUUUAUGUAUGCACAAGUGUAAACCCUGUGGAUGUUGGAGGUUAAUUUUUGAUGUUGAUCUUAGGGAGAAAGAG